UGGGGAAUAUUGGACAAUGGGCGAAAGCCUGAUCCAGCCAUGCCGCGUGAGUGAUGAAGGCCUUAGGGUUGUAAAGCUCUUUUGUCAGGGAAGAUAAUGACGGUACCUGAAGAAUAAGCACCGGCUAACUUCGUGCCAGCAGCCGCGGUAAUACGAAGGGUGCUAGCGUUGUUCGGAAUUACUGGGCGUAAAGCGCGCGUAGGCGGCGACUCAAGUCAGGGGUGAAAUCCUUGGGCUCAACCCAAGAAUUGCCUUUGAAACUGUGUUGCUAGAGUGUCGGAGGGGAUAGCGGAAUUGCUAAUGUAGAGGUGAAAUUCGUAGAUAUUAGCAGGAACACCGGUGGCGAAGGCGGCUAUCUGGACGACAACUGACGCUGAGGCGCGAAAGCGUGGGGAUCAAACAGGAUUAGAUACCCCCGUAGUCC
rnacentral:rRNA from 1 species